rnacentral:rRNA from 1 species
CCUACGGGAGGCAGCAGUGAGGAAUAUUGGUCAAUGGGCGAGAGCCUGAACCAGCCAAGUAGCGUGCAGGAUGACGGCCCUAUGGGUUGUAAACUGCUUUUAUAAGGGAAUAAAGUGAGCCUCGUGAGGCUUUUUGCAUGUACCUUAUGAAUAAGGACCGGCUAACUCCGUGCC